rnacentral:rRNA from 1 species
UACGGAGGGGGCUAGCGUUGUUCGGAAUUACUGGGCGUAAAGCGCACGUAGGCGGACUGUUAAGUCAGGGGUGAAAUCCCGAGGCUCAACCUCGGAACAGCCUCUGAUACUGGCAGUCUUGAUUCCGAGAGAGGUGAGUGGAAUUCCGAGUGUAGAGGUGAAAUUCGUAGAUAUUCGGAGGAACACCAGUGGCGAAGGCGGCUCACUGGCUCGAUACUGACGCUGAGGUGCGAAAGCGUGGGGAGCAAACAGGAUUAGAUACCCU